rnacentral:rRNA from 1 species
GAUGGAUCUGCGGCCUAUCAGGUAGUAGUGGGUGUAACGUACCUACUAGCCUACGACGGGUACGGGUUGUGAGAGCAGAGCCCGGAGAUGGAUUCUGAGACAUGAAUCCAGGCCCUACGGGGCGCACAGGCGCGAAAACUUUACAAUGCGGAAACUGCGAUAAGGGGACACUGAGUGCCAGUGAAUUGUGUGGCUGUCCGCAUGUCUAAAUCACAUGUGUAGCAAGGGCCGGGCAAGACCGGUGCCAGCCGCCGCGGUAACACCGGCGGCCCGAGUGGUAACCAUUAUUAUUGGGUCUAAAGGGUCCGUAGCCGGUUUGAUCAGUCUUCCGGGAAAUCUGACAGCUCAACUGUUAGGCUACUGGGGGAUACUGUUGGACUUGGAACCGGGAGAGGUAAGAGGUACUUCAGGGGUAGGAGUGAAAUCUUGUAAUCCUUGUGGGACCACCAGUGGCGAAGGCGUCUUACCAGAACGGGUUCGACGGUGAGGGACGAAAGCUGGGG